rnacentral:lncRNA from 1 species
UCCCCUUCACUCGCGAUGAGGACAACACCGCUACCAUGUCUAGUUGGACCACUCUUUCCACCAGUGGCGGAGCUUCUGGUUCAUAUAUAAAUAGUGCUCCAUCGGCUCCUCUGCCAACAGCAGCCUGCCCACGUUGGACUCAUCCGAGUCUGAGCGGCUGGUGAGUAUGGUGUGGACUAUUUUCAAAUCUCUCUCUUCUCCCC